CACGUAGGGCGCGAGCGUUGUCCGGAAUUAUUGGGCGUAAAGAGCUUGUAGGCGGUCUGUCGCGUCUGCUGUGAAAAUCCGGGGCUCAACCCCGGACUUGCAGUGGGUACGGGCAGACUAGAGUGUGGUAGGGGAGACUGGAAUUCCUGGUGUAGCGGUGAAAUGCGCAGAUAUCAGGAGGAACACCGGUGGCGAAGGCGGUUCUCUGAGCCUGUACUGACGCUGAGGAACGAAAGCGUGGGGAGCGAACAGG
rnacentral:rRNA from 1 species